GAAAAAGAGAAAAAAAAACGGGAGAAGAGGAGAAGACCACCUUAGCCAAAACCCAAACACGUUUUCAUGCUCUCCGACGUCGGGAUGAUGCUUGUGUCGAGACUCCAGAUGUUAGAGAGCCUGCCAAAUCUGGCCCUCGAUUUCGUCCUCGUCGCUGCACAAGCUCUCAGCGUGGUAGUCCCCCAUGAAAGGCGGCUUCCGCGGCUCGCCUACUCCUCUUUCGCAUCCGCUCCGUCUGUGCCCCUCGCUGGUCUCUUUGCCUGAAAUUCUUUCUUAUCGCUGGGUCUCAAUGUACUUUACAGGGCACUGAUGGGGAGAGACGUCAGUUCGUUCGUUGUGUAUUAUGUUAGGUCCGAUCUCCAUCAGGAGAAGAAGUAGCACUGUGUUAGCGGCAAUUCUUGCUGGCGUUGUUCAAGUACUGUUUGCACCAUGUGAAAAGUUCGAUGUAUACAAGGGCCAGAAUUUUGAUUCUUGAAGCUUGAAUUCUUGAUCACCAGACCUUCAAGUUCAGAGAUUCCGUUUCAGCUGAGUAAUCUUUUUCUGGGGCAUAGAAUCGUCGUCUUUUGCUCGCCAAUGGAUGAGAAAAUUCUCAUAUUGAGAUGGGAUUUUUUCCUUUUGGAUUCUUCUCUGCGUUGUUCUGGAUAAGUUCUUGCUCGCCCCAUGCACAGCGCAUGGGAGAGAAUGCGUGGCAAUGAAUAUAUUUUAUGUCUCUCUUGUCAGAAGAAUUAUCAAUCUACUUUAUUAGAGAAUGUUGAUUGCGCAGAACUUUCAAGAGGAAAAAGCGUAUUUGGUUUUCUCUACAUUUUUUUAUGAGAUGCAGCUUGGACUCAUGUUUCGUGGCUGCUUCUGGUGCGU
rnacentral:lncRNA from 1 species